rnacentral:piRNA from 1 species
UGUAUGGUAUAUUGCUGUAUCCGUGUG